rnacentral:rRNA from 1 species
CCUACGGGAGGCAGCAGUGGGGAAUAUUGGACAAUGGGGGCAACCCUGAUCCAGCCAUGCCGCGUGUGUGAAGAAGGCCCUCGGGUUGUAAAGCACUUUCAGUGAGGAAGAACGCCUGGUGGUUAAUACCCAUCAGGAAAGACAUCACUCACAGAAGAAGCACCGGCUAACUCCGUGCCAGCAGCCGCGGUAAUAUGGAGGGUGCGAGCGUUAAUCGGAAUUACUGGGCGUAAAGCGCGCGUAGGUGGCUUGAUAAGCCGGUUGUGAAAGCCCCGGGCUCAACCUGGGAACGGCAUCCGGAACUGUCAAGCUAGAGUGCAGGAGAGGAAGGUAGAAUUCCCGGUGUAGCGGUGAAAUGCGUAGAGAUCGGGAGGAAUACCAGUGGCGAAGGCGGCCUUCUGGACUGACACUGACACUGAGGUGCGAAAGCGUGGGUAGCAAACAGGAUUAGAUACCCCGGUAGUC